GGGCACCUGUGGCCUUUUUCGGGAGGAACCUCUGGCUGCUGGGCUCGUGGGUAGGAACAGGCCCGGCACGGGGGACUAUGGCCCAGGGAGCAGAGACCCGGGGGACGAUCCAACUCAGGACACAAAACGGCAUAUAAUCCAUCAAAACCCCGCCACCUUGUGCCUAUACAAUCAUAGAUACAGAGGAGUACUGCCACUAAGAUUUCCCUACUUCCGGGAACAUAGAAUCUCACAAAUGCUCUUUGUCCAGGACAGCUCGGGAACCACGUGGUCUAAGCCCGUGGUGCAGUUCACUAUCACGGACAACAGAGGGCGCUUUACCCUUAGGAAGGCAGAGCCAGUUCCUGUACCCCAGUAGCCCUUACAGAGACCGCACAGGAGGCCUGGAUGGAGUCUUCCAUUGGGAACUGCAGGGGAAACCAUGCCCUGGCUGCGGAAGGCUCCGGCUGAUGCUGGACAGAGAGAAGGAGUAUCUUUGCUGAGACAAGCCAUGCUCCUUCCUGCUGAUGAUCCAGUCACCGGGGGUGGUUGGAAGAUGCUGUCCUUGGCCUGAGCAGCCCACAACCUCAUCUGUUCCCCCAGACAUUCAGGGAUCCACUUACCAAUAUGACUUUCCCAAUGUAGAACAUGCUUACAUGCCAGCAGCAUUCAGGCUAACGGCACCUGGAGAAUGGGGUUAUCCUGAAGGGGGGCCCAUCUUAAUUCCCUGUUCAGUCUGAGACAUUGUGAUUCUCCAGCUUUCUGUAUGUAUCUGUAUGCAAGGCCCUUCUGCCAGAAGACACACCUAUCAUAUGACUGACAGCAUUCUCUCCCCAAUGGCAUUGUAUUUGCUACCUGGAGCUCCUGCUUCUAUAAGCAUUUCCCUACCCACGCCACACCUUUCCUCCCUCACCAUCUGAUGGCCUGCUCUGGUCCUCACCCAGCCCCACCGGACCGUUCCAAGGUCAUUCACAAGGUCACUUUGAAGCCUGGGGGGGUGGGGGCUCCCCAUGCUGUGCCCUUGCCCAGCUUCCCCAUGCCCAAUGCCUCACUGGGUGCCAUGAGACUGCAGACUCAGUGUCUGGCUCCUGGGGCAUGGGCCCAUAAGAAGUUAGUACUCAUCAAGAGCCACAAGCAGAACUUCCAACAACAAAAGGUUCCAGUUCAGGCCAUCUGUCGGGGGCAGCUGCUGGCAUGCAUAGGUUGAGUGGUGGCAAGUGUUAGCCCAGGCAAACAGCUGGACACACCAUGGCCCAGUCUCUCCCCAUGCUGGCUACAUUGUAGCCUCAACAGGUAGCUUUUCUUUUCCAAGUGACUGCAUAUCACCACUGUCUCAAGUUACUUUUUCCACUGCUGUGAUAAGAUGUGGCGACCAAGGCAUCUUGUAGAAGAGUUUAUUUGGGGCUUACAGUUUCAGAGGGUUAGACUCCAUGACCAUUAUGGGGUAAAGCAUGGCAGUAGGCAUGGUGCUGGAGCAGUAACCGAGAGCUCAUAUCUUGAUCCACGAAACAGUUAACUGGGAAUGGCAUGGGCUUUCAAAACCCCAAACCCACCCCUCAGUGACACACCCCUUAAAAACAGUUCCACUGAGAACCAGGCAUAGAACUAUCCUGACCCCUUCAUGGAUAAUCGGAUAAUUGGGAAAGUGAUUAGUGGGGCUGGCUGAAUUGGGAAGCCUGGGAGAGAAAGGGCUGAAGCAGCCAGGACAAGAAGCCCCGAUCUGGGAGGUGGUUUUCACAGUGCCUGUCCUUCCUGGAAGUCUGUGUUGCUGCACACACUUCUCCAGGUACCUACUGGAGCACCGUUUAAUCUGCCUAUUGAACUUCCACUCCCAAGCAUCCAACAGUGUAAGCUCAGGGGUUAAACUGCAUCCUCUCACACAGCUCUGCCCAUCUUAUUGAUUCACUGGCUCUGAAGGAUUCGGGCUACAGACGUUGAUCUUUUGACUACCCUGUGUGUGUACAUGGGGGUCAGAGGAUGGCACUGGGAGUCUCCCUCAGUCACUCUCCACCUUAUUUUCUGAGUCAGUCUCUCCCUGAAUCUGAAGGUCACCAGUUGGGUAGAGUAGCUUGCCAGCGAGCCCCAGAGAUCCUCCCGAUGCCCAUCUCCAGUGUGGCAUCGCAAAGCAGGUCCUCACGCCUGCAGGCGGAAACUUACCAACCGAGCCAGCCACCUCCCUGGACCCUGCUUACACUUUUAAACAUUUGCUCUAAUUACACUUUGCCUCCAUAGGAAAAACAGAGAUAAAUGUUGUUUCCAUCUGAGGAGAGGCACAGGCACCAAAUUCUGAGCUAUACCAAGAACCCGGAGUGCAGAAUGCAAAUGGUUUUUCAAUCUGUCUAAGCUGUGGAGCAGCCCAACAAGACAUUUCUGGUUUCCUUUAAUAUUAAGGUGAGGCAAUCUAUUGAGCCAUGGGAGAUGUUACAAUCUUUGAACUUUUAAAUAAUAAUUAAUUGUGCACAGUAAAGUGCCUGUCUAUAAUGAUUAGUACCAUAUACUUUAAAAUGCUAGAACAAAUCGCUUGAAUGUUUUCUCAUAAAAGAAAUGGCAAAUCACCAGGUAGGCUUUACUGACUUAAACAUUAAUUACAUAGUGCACAUUGAAAUAUCACAUGUAUCUCAUAAAUAUAUAACUUUUACAUCUU
ensembl:processed_transcript B430212C06Rik RIKEN cDNA B430212C06 gene